rnacentral:rRNA from 1 species
GACGUAGGGCGCGAGCGUUGUCCGGAUUUAUUGGGCGUAAAGAGCUCGUAGGCGGCUUGUUGCGUCGUCCGUGAAAACCUGGGGCUCAACUCCAGGCUUGCGGACGAUACGGGCAGGCUAGAGUUCGGUAGGGGAGACUGGAAUUCCUGGUGUAGCGGUGAAAUGCGCAGAUAUCAGGAGGAACACCGGUGGCGAAGGCGGGUCUCUGGGCCGAUACUGACGCUGAGAAGCGAAAGCAUGGGGAGCGAACAGG